GUUUCAGCAAUGGAACAUUCAGUGGCGCACGGGUGCGUAACGCGUAUGCAACCUACCUUAAACUGGGGGAUAGCCUUCCGAAAGGGAGAUUAAUACCGCAUAAUACUAUUUGAUGGCAUCUGAAGAUAGUUAAAGAUUUAUUGGUUUAAGAUGGGCAUGCGUGCCAUUAGCUAGUUGGUGAGGUAACGGCUCACCAAGGCUACGAUGGCUAGGGGUUCUGAGAGGAUGAUCCCCCACACUGGUACUGAGAUACGGACCAGACUCCUACGGGAGGCAGCAGUAGGGAAUAUUGGGCAAUGGACGGAAGUCUGACCCAGCCAUGCCGCGUGCAGGAUGAAGGCCUUCUGGG
rnacentral:rRNA from 1 species